UUUAUGCUAUUACACUCUCAUAAUUUCCAGGGAGCACUAGGUACCUUCUUGGCCCUUAUACUGAACAUCAAAACUCCAUCCUACAUUGUCUUUCUGUCACCUCCCUGAAAAAAUAUGCUUGAUAUUAGAAAACCAAGAUGUAUUUGUAACUGUUUUUCUGCAAUUUUAUAAGGAAAGAGACCACCAAUUUUUGCAAUUAUUUCUAAACAAGUUUAUCUAAACAAAGCCAUUAACAAAACAGGGCAGUUCAUCUCUUUAUAUCAAAUCAAACCAUCCAUCUACAUGCAAAUACAGAAAAAAGUCAGAAGGUUCCCCAUGGACAAUUCCUUCCUUACAGAGAAUCUAUCAUUUGAAAAGCAAAAACGACAGGAAUAUCCUAGAGAGUGAAUAUUCUUUAACUAUUCAAAUAAAAAUUAGAAUCCUACUUUUUGCUAUUAAAAAUUUAUUACUCUUACCUCAUUAUUACUAAGACAUUAGAAUGGCUUUUUCAAAACAUUCCAAUGGCCUUCCAAACUGCAAAACCUGCCAAACUCUUUGACUCAGUUGCCAUAAAACAUUUCUAAAUUGCUGGAACGAGAUCCAAAUUUUGUUUUAUAAAAGUAUAAAAAGGAUAUGAGUAAAACCUUGAGCUGAUUCACUGUGAAUGUAACAUGUGUUAAAGGGUUUCCGGGUCCUGUUACUCAUUAGGAGAAAAUAGCAAUCCAGAUAUGCAGAUAUAUUAUGGUGGCUCCACAGAUUUAGUCUCAUCCUAUUGUUUUUGGUGCUUUUCCCUUUCAUCUAAUCAUCUGCAUCUGGCUUUUCCCUAAGUAAACCCAUGUAUUCCAAAACCAAGUAAAUGAAAGCAGUUCCAUCAAUAAAAGUGUGUACUUUCUCUAGUAAUAUUAACCACACACUUUUCUCUUUGUCAACAGAGCAAAUUGGACCACAGAGAACACAAACCUCUGGAAUUCUCAACAAUUCAGCUGUAUUACUAUUAAAUUUGGACUAGUUCUAUCAUUUGAGAAGACAAUAAUGUAAGUUACAGCUGAAUUUAUACCCAGGUUGUACAAAGAGCUAUAGAAGAUUCUCAAGGGUUUUUUUGAAGCUUAUUCUGAACAUUUCAGUUUUCUCUGAGUUUUACAGCCUAGCAAGUAUUUACAAGCUGUUCAGUAGUUAAUAUAGUCCAUAUAAUCAACCAAGCAACCAUCAUGAUACUCACACUUAAAUAUUUGACAAAACAUGUCUUUUGCUGCAGGUGCUCAGCAGACUAACCCAGUUCAGGUGUGGGAUCUCUAUCAUGUACACAUAAGAUAAUUCCUGCCUUUCCAGAUAAGCUUUGCAAGAGAUUCUGGGAGUUUAUCUCCAUAGGUUCACAGUCUGCCUUCAGGCACACAGAGGAAAUUCUGGGAAUGCACAGGCAGAGUAACAACUCCUCUGUAGCCCAGCCCCAUCCUGCUGGGAAGCAGCAAGAACAGCAGCUCACACCAAUGUCCCACUCAGCUCUUCCCUUACCUGCCCCUGCCUACCCUGAAAGCAGCUCCAAGCUCCACUCAGAGGGUUUUGGGAAGUGUGUUUGGGAAGGGAACUAGACAAUAAUACCUGGGGAAGUGUAGGAGUGAAGCCUGCAAAAGGAUCAGCAGCUAAUUCAUGCUCAUCUGCCCUUCUGGAGCCUCAGCAGUCCCAGAGCUGCAGCUUAGUGGAAGGUAACACAAGGCUUAAUAUUUGUUUGGCAGAGUUGUUGGGUUUUUGUUUCUGUUUGUUUGGUUCUUUGUUUGUUUGGUUGGGGUUUUUUGUUUAAACUUAAGGCUGGAAUUACAGACAAGUAUAAAACAAGUUGAAUUCUUAUUACAGCUUGUGAUGUUCAUGUAAAGUGGAACUUUCAAGUUUGGGUAGUGCUGGGGGAGUGAGGGCUGUUUUGACCUCCUUUGUACAGAACAGCACUUCCAUGCUUUUGCUCUCAGUUUUCAAAAAAGCAGAGGGAGUUUUUUUUUGGUUUUUUUUUUUUUUUUUUGUUAGUAUUUGUAACUUUCAAACAAAGCCAAAAGUGAUCCAUUGCUUUGGAGCACUGUGUGGGAGGGAGGUGUUGCUAAAAAAUAUCCCAAGAUCCUCUUCAAAAUAAACCCUGCAAUCUCUUUUGCCCCACCACUUGUGGCUUUGUUUUUGCCAGCACACUGAUUUUUUUAAAAUGAUUUUUUAGUUUCUUUUUUCCUAUUUGACUGUAAUGUAGAACAAAUAUUUACUCUCAAACAGAAACAACAUUCUUUGAAUUGUUUUGCUGACUCUAUUCCUU